rnacentral:lncRNA from 1 species
ACUGGAGAAACCAGGCUUGUCACUUUCCAGGGAGGUUUAUUUCCGCCCCAAAGGGUUAGAGGAAGAUGGUUCAAAGCAGACUCUACGAAGGGAGAGGGAACAGUGGUCUGUCCCCUUCCCAGUCUACUCAGUAAUAGGCGUGUCUGCCAAUCCAGCAUUUCAGCCUUGGAGGGAGCAGUGGCUGCUGUCUUCUAAAAUGAAAUGAGAAAAGAGACAAAAGAACUAAGAAAGCUGAAACGAUAAAGGUUCAAAACAUAGCGAUCAAAUAUGACCUUUCCGGAGACUAAUGCUACAAACAAUUUUGCAAAUAUACCACGUAGGAGAAAAACAAAUAGCGAUGAAAAUGUGCGCUGCCCUCUCUUAUUAUAUAAACAUCAGCACGCAAAAUGUGUACAUGCAUCAUGCUGGCUGAAUACCAGAGUCUUCCUGCCAAACUGCUUUUUCAAAAGAUUGCACCUAUGUACGUUUUUCACAACCAUUGUUACAUUCUUAGCUAAAAUAAAUCUGUUUGUAUUAUAAUCUCAGACUUUGCUCAUUUUAGAAACAUUUAAAAAUGCAUAUAAGCCAAUUAUGGAGCAUUUUAAAAUAAGCGUCAUCCCACUCCAAGGACAUGGUCAUUGUUAAUAUCCUGGUCUCCCCCCUUCCCGGCAGGGGAGAAAGUUGCUGCGGGGGAGGACCCCGGUCAGCCCGUGGAGGUACACAUCCUGGCAGCUGUGGCACCUGCCUGUUUGUGCCUUCCUUUCCUUGCCGGGGACACGGGGAGCACGACAGUGUCUAAGUCGCUGAGCUGUUUCGAGGCUAGAGUGAGUAGAUGUGGCACGCUUAAAACCUCUGAAGGCCCAGAACAAUGCUGCAACCCCACAGCGCGUUCAGGAGAAGCAGGGAGCCUUCCUCGUGAGCUUACCAGCCCGCAUCAACAGCAGCCUUACUUAGGAAGGCUGAGCACCCCAGGGGGCAGGAGCUCCUUCUCUGGGGCUCCUCGGGGCUCUGGGAAUUGUCCAGUCACAGCUACACAACAGUAACAACUCCUCUCUCAGCCUCAUGGGGUUUCAGCAACACAGACGCAGCUGAGUCCUCAGGCAAGGACUUAAACCCUAAUAAACUUGUAGCCCCCAGUCUCUGUGUACCCGCA